rnacentral:rRNA from 1 species
GGCAGGGGGGCAGCUACACAUGCAGUCGAGCGAGAACUUCGGUUCUAGCGGCGGACGGGUUAGUAACGCGUGGGAACGUGCCCUUCACUACGGAAUAGUCCCGGGAAACUGGGUUUAAUACCGUAUACGCCCUUCGGGGGAAAGAAUUUCGGUGAAGGAUCGGCCCGCGUUAGAUUAGAUAGUUGGUGGGGUAACGGCCUACCAAGUCUACGAUCUAUAGCUGGUUUUAGAGGAUGAUCAGCAACACUGGGACUGAGACACGGCCCAGACUCCUACGGGAGGCAGCAGUGGGGAAUCUUAGACAAUGGGCGCAAGCCUGAUCUAGCCAUGCCGCGUGAGUGAUGAAGGCCUUAGGGUCGUAAAGCUCUUUCGCCAGGGAUGAUAAUGACAGUACCUGGUAAAGAAACCCCGGCUAACUCCGUGCCAGCAGCCGCGGUAAUACGGAGGGGGUUAGCGUUGUUCGGAAUUACUGGGCGUAAAGCGCGCGUAGGCGGAUUGGAAAGUUGGGGGUGAAAUCCCAGGGCUCAACCCUGGAACUGCCUCCAAAACUAUCAGUCUAGAGUUCGAGAGAGGUGAGUGGAACUCCGAGUGUAGAGGUGAAAUUCGUAGAUAUUCGGAAGAACACCAGUGGCGAAGGCGGCUCACUGGCUCGAUACUGACGCUGAGGUGCGAAAGUGUGGGGAGCAAACAGGAUUAGAUACCCUGGUAGU